AACGAUGACCUCGGAGCUUGCUCCGAGUGAUUAGUGGCGAACGGGUGAGUAACACGUGAGUAACCUGCCCCAGACUCUGGGAUAAGCCUUGGAAACGAGGUCUAAUACCGGAUACGAAACAGGAUCGCAUGAUCACUGUUUGGAAAGUUUUUCGGUCUGGGAUGGACUCGCGGCCUAUCAGCUUGUUGGCGGGGUAACGGCCCACCAAGGCGACGACGGGUAGCCGGCCUGAGAGGGCGACCGGCCACACUGGAACUGAGACACGGUCCAGACUCCUACGGGAGGCAGCAGUGGGGAAUAUUGCACAAUGGGCGAAAGCCUGAUGCAGCGACGCCGCGUGGGGGAUGAAGGCCUUCGGGUUGUAAACCCCUUUUAGCAGGGAAGAAGCGAAAGUGACGGUACCUGCAGAAAAAGCGCCGGCUAACUACGUGCCAGCAGCCGCGGUAAUACGUAGGGCGCAAGCGUUGUCCGGAAUUAUUGGGCGUAAAGAGCUCGUAGGCGGUUUGUCGCGUCUGCUGUGAAAUCCCGAGGCUCAACCUCGGGCCUGCAGUGGGUACGGGCAAACUAGAGUGUGGUAGGGGAGACUGGAAUUCCUGGUGUAGCGGUGGAAUGCGCAGAUAUCAGGAGGAACACCAAUGGCGAAGGCAGGUCUCUGGGCC
rnacentral:rRNA from 1 species